GUUGGAGCUGGUGUCAUUCAGAAAAUUCUUGAGUGAUCAACGAGCAGCAGCGCAUUUCCAUUCAAAAUGGUCCGGUCCUUGUCAUGCAAUAUUUUUAAUCCCUUGUCAUAUAUGCAACGUUUUGGUUACUUCUUUUCUUUUAGAUCAUAGGUUAGUUGGAGAAAUCUUGUUAUAAGUCAAUGCUAGUGCACCUUUGCGAGUUUGCUUCAAUUUUUGUUU
rnacentral:misc_RNA from 1 species